rnacentral:lncRNA from 1 species
CACCACCAAAGAAUAGAAGAAGGCAGACCACACCAUCCUUCUAUCUUUAUGCUCCCUCCUCCCCAGACUUCGCCUUCCACCUUCUCGUAGGGGAGAAGAACUGUGCAGCUCCGCUGCCAUUCCUGAGCAAGACACCGAAAAUGGCAACCUGCACAGUCUACCCUGCUCCUUCCCUCCACUCCUCGUGUUCCUUCCCCGGUCCGGCCAAGACUUACUUGGGCUUCCACCAAAGGCAGGUCAUCUUCUUCACCGGUGGGAGGAGAAGCGGCAGCAGAGGAGGGAGGAGUAGCUCAGAGAUCUCCUGCUCUGCGGAGGCCAAGACGGUGGUGAUAGGACUGGCGGCGGACUCGGGGUGUGGUAAGAGCACCUUCAUGAGGAGGCUGACGAGUGUGUUCGGAGGCGCGGCGGAGCCGCCCAAGGGAGGCAACCCAGACUCCAACACGUUGAUCAGUGACACCACCACUGUCAUUUGCCUGGAUGACUACCACUCUUUGGACAGAACAGGGAGGAAGGAGAAGGGAGUCACUGCUCUGGAUCCCCGGGCCAAUGACUUCGAUCUCAUGUACGACCAAGUGAAGGCUCUCAAGGAAGGAGUGGCCGUGGACAAGCCAAUCUACAACCAUGUCACCGGCCUGCUUGACCCCCCUGAGCUCAUCAAUCCACCCAAGAUUCUGGUCAUCGAAGGACUGCACCCAAUGUGAGCGAGCUUUUGAUGCUUCCUCCUUUAGCGAACAGUCUGAUGAUGGAUCUUUCACCAUCUGUAGGUUCGACGCCCGGGUGAGGGACCUGUUGGACUUCAGCAUCUACUUGGACAUCAGCAACGAGGUCAAGUUUGCAUGGAAGAUUCAGGUAAAUCAAGGACUAGAAAUCUUGGCUAGUUCUGUGACGAUGAACGAAGAUUACUGGUGAAAUGCUCUCUGCAUUAAUCCAUCGGGUGUUGUGAAUCACAGAGAGAUAUGGCGGAACGUGGGCACAGCCUUGAAAGCAUCAAAGCUAGCAUAGAAGCUCGAAAGCCUGAUUUCGACGCUUAUAUCGGUACUUCCAUUUCCAUUAGAUGAGCUGCAAACCACAGUUCGUUCAUUCGGAAGCGUACAUUUGAGUAUGUUUGAGAUGACAUUCGAUUGGUGCCAUAUAAGCACAGUAUACGCACUGCAGUAGAAAUUUUUGUUAAGGAACAAAGUUAAAUUGGCCAACAUCAAUCUAUCAACGUAAUGAGAUCGGAUAUCAAUUCAAUCUAAAAACUUAGUGACGUGCAAUUGGUUCUUCCUCCAUCGUUCGAGAGAAUGUGUGUAUGAGAUGCUUAGGAUUCAGUGGGGGUGCGUUGUUGACAGAUCCACAGAAACAGUACGCCGACGCCGUCAUCGAGGUUCUGCCGACCCUGCUGAUCCCCGACGACAACGAAGGAAAGGUGCUGCGCGUGAGGCUGAUCAUGAAGGAAGGGGUGAAGCACUUCAGCCCCGUCUACCUCUUCGACGAAGGCUCCACCAUUUCCUGGAUCCCCUGCGGCCGGAAGCUGACCUGCUCGUACCCCGGCAUCCAGUUCUCUUACGGCCCGGACACCUACUACUCCAACGAGGUAACCCGUCGCACCUCCUUCCAUCGAUGUUACCAUCGCCAGCUGCUUCACUCUCCUCUUGCUGCCUGCGUGUGUACGUCCGUGGCCAGGUC